rnacentral:rRNA from 1 species
AUUGAACGCUGGCGGCAGGCUUAACACAUGCAAGUCGAGCGGGGAAGGGUAGCUUGCUACCUGACCUAGCGGCGGACGGGUGAGUAAUGCUUAGGAAUCUGCCUAUUAGUGGGGGACAGCAUUCCGAAAGGAAUGCUAAUACCGCAUACGCCCUACGGGGGAAAGCAGGGGAUCUUCGGACCUUGCGCUAAUAGAUGAGCCUAAGUCAGAUUAGCUAGUUGGUGGGGUAAAGGCCUACCAAGGCGACGAUCUGUAGCGGGUCUGAGAGGAUGGUCCGACACACAAGGACUGGGACACGGCCCAGACUCAUACGGGAGGCAGCAGUGGGGAAAAUUGGAAAAGGGGCGAAAGCCUGAUCCAGCCAUGCCGCGUGUGUGAAGAAGGCCUUUUGGUUGUAAAGCACUUUAAGCGAGGAGGAGGCUACUUGGAUUAAUACUCUAGGAUAGUGGACGUUACUCGCAGAAUAAGCACCGGCUAACUCUGUGCCAGCCGCCGCCGUAACAC